rnacentral:rRNA from 1 species
AGAUCUCCUACGGGAGCAGCAGUGGGGAAUAUUUGCACAAUUGGGGGAAACCCUGAUGCAGCCAUGCCGCGUGUGUGAAGAAGGCCUUCGGGUUGUAAAGCACUUUCAGUUGUGAGGAAAAGUUAGUAGUUAAUACCUGCUAGCCGUGACGUUAACAACAGAGGAAAGCGCCGCUAACUCCGUGCCUGCAGCCGCGGUAAUACGGAGGGUGCGAGCGUUAAUCGGAAUUACUGGCGUAAAGCGCACGCAGGCGGUUUGUUAAGCUAGAUGUGAAAGCCCCGGGCUCAACCUGGGAUGGUCAUUUAGAGCUGGCAGACUAGAGUCUUGGAGAGGGGAGUGGAAUUCCAGGUGUAGCGGUGAAAUGCGUAGAUAUCUGGAGGAACACCAGUGGCGAAAGCGGCA